rnacentral:lncRNA from 1 species
CGCCAGUCAAGUUACUGUAUCAAAACACAAAAGGGGCAACACCAUGUACCCUGCAGUGGCGGAAGUGGACUCCACCUUCUAAUACCUGAAUAGGUCCUUCAUAUCCAACUCCACUCUCUAAGCAGUACAUGGUUCACUAUAAACACGUCAGUCAGAAGGGACUCGUCUACACUGAGAAGACAUUAUCUUGCUAAUAGCAUCUAAGAAAGGAUUUUUUGGAACCCAGUUUGGCCUUGAACUCACUAUACAUCCAAGGCUGGGCAUGAACUCCUGAUCUUCCUGCCUCCACCUUCCAAGUGCUGGAAUUACAGACAUUGGUCACC